UACGUAGGGUGCAAGCGUUAAUCGGAAUUACUGGGCGUAAAGCGUGCGCAGGCGGUUUUGUAAGCCAGAUGUGAAAUCCCCGGGCUUAACCUGGGAAUGGCAUUUGGGACUGCAAGGCUGGAGUGUGGCAGAGGAGACUGGAAUUCCUGGUGUAGCAGUGAAAUGCGUAGAUAUCAGGAGGAAUACCGAUGGCGAAGGCAGGUCUCUGGGCUAACACUGACGCUCAUGCACGAAAGCGUGGGGAGCAAACAGG
rnacentral:rRNA from 1 species